rnacentral:SRP_RNA from 1 species
GCCGGGCGCGGUAGCUCACGCCUGUAAUCCCAGCACUUUGGGAGGCCGAGACGGGCGGAUCACGAGGUCAGGAGAUCGAGACCAUCCUGGCUAACACGGUGAAACCAGGUUUCACCGUGUUAGCCAGGAUGGUCUCGAUCUCCUGACCUCGUGAUCCGCCCGUCUCGG